UACGUAGGGGGCAAGCGUUGUCCGGAUUUAUUGGGCGUAAAGAGCGUGUAGGCGGCCAGACAGGUCAGCUGUGAAAACUCGAGGCUCAACCUCGAGACGUCGGUUGAAACCGUCUGGCUAGAGUCCGGAAGAGGGGAGUGGAAUUCCCGGUGUAGCGGUGAAAUGCGCAGAUAUCGGGAAGAACACCCGUGGCGAAGGCGGCUCUCUGGGACGGUACUGACGCUGAGGAGCGAAAGCGUGGGGAGCGAACAGG
rnacentral:rRNA from 1 species